rnacentral:lncRNA from 1 species
UAGAUUCAAAGCAUUCGACUCAACGAACUUUCUAAAAAAUGGCUUCAGUAGUAAAAACUCUGUCCCUUUGCUUGUGCCUCUUUGCAUUUGUUACACUGGAAAUCAAAGCCCAAACCAUCGAUCGCACUUCGGAGUUUCAAGCCCUCUGUGAGAGAUACAGAACAGUGAUGAACGACUGUGAAGAAAGACUUCCCGGGCUAGUGACUGCUGAUGAGCAGGCUUUGCUGAAUUCAGCCGAUAA